UACGUAGGGUGCGAGCGUUAAUCGGAAUUACUGGGCGUAAAGCGUGCGCAGGCGGUUGUGCAAGACCGAUGUGAAAUCCCCGGGCUUAACCUGGGAAUGGCGCUUGUGACUGCAAAGCUGGAGUGCGGCAGAGGGGGAUGGAAUUCCGCGUGUAGCAGUGAAAUGCGUAGAUAUGCGGAGGAACACCGAUGGCGAAGGCAAUCCCCUGGGCCUGCACUGACGCUCAUGCACGAAAGCGUGGGGAGCAAACAGG
rnacentral:rRNA from 1 species